AUUGAAGGAAAAUAAGGCAGAUUUUGGUUCAAUUUGGAUGAGCAUGAUCCUCACGUGUUGAUGUGUGCUUUUUAUAUGUGUGUGCAUGGCCGUUCUUAGUUGGUGGAGCAAUUUGUCUGGUUAAUUCCGAUAACGAAUGAGACUCUGGCAUGCUAACUCGUUACGUGACCCCUGAGCAGUCGGCGUCCAACUUCUUAGAGGGACAAGUGGCAUUCAGCCACCCGAGAUGGAGCAAUAACAGGUCUGUGAUGCCCUUAGAUGUCCGGGGCCACAUGUGCGCUACACUGACUGUCUCAGCUUGUGCCUACCCUCCGCCGGCAGGCACGGGUAACCCGUUGAACCCCAUUUGUGAUGGGGAUCGGGGAUUGCAAUUCUUCCCCGUGAACGAGGAAUUCCCCGUAAGUGUGGGUCAUAAGCUCGCGUUGAUUAAGCCCCUGCCGUUUGUACA
rnacentral:ncRNA from 1 species